rnacentral:rRNA from 1 species
UACGUAGGGUCCGAGCGUUGCCCGGAAUUAUUGGGCGUAAAGGGCUCGUAGGCGGUUUGUCGCGUCGGGAGUGAAAACUCAGGGCUCAACCCUGAGCGUGCUUCCGAUACGGGCAGACUAGAGGUAUGCAGGGGAGAACGGAAUUCCUGGUGUAGCGGUGGAAUGCGCAGAUAUCAGGAGGAACACCGGUGGCGAAGGCGGUUCUCUGGGCAUGACCUGACGCUGAGGAGCGAAAGCAUGGGGAGCGAACAGG